GACCCGGGUUAGACCCCACUUGGAGUACUGUGCUCAGUUCUGGUCACCGCACUACAGGAAGGAUGUGAAAACUAUAGAAAGGGUGCAGAGGAGAUUUACAAGGCUGUUGCCAUACAAGAAUAGGUUGAAUGAACUUGGCCUUUUCUCCUUGGAGUGACGGAGGAUGAGAGGUGACCUGAUAGAGGUGUAUAAGAUGAUGAGAGGCAUUGAUUGUGUGGUUAGUCAGAGGCUUUUUCCCAGGGCUGAAAUGGCUAACGUGAGAGGGCACAGUUUUAAGGUACUUGGAAGUAGGUGCAGAGGGGAUGUCAGGGGUAAGUUCUUUUAUGCAGAGAGUGAUGAGUGUGUGGAAUGGGCUGCUGGCGACUAUGAUGAAGGUGGGAACAAUAGGGUCUUUUAUGAGACUCCUGUAUAGGUACAUGGAGCUUAGAAAAAUAGAGGGCUAUGGGUAACUGUAGGUAAUUUCUAAAGUACAUGUUCAGCACAGCAUUGUGGGCCAAAGGGCCUGUAUCGUGCUGUAGUUUUCUAUGUUUCUACUUGCAUUACUGUGACUAAUUUAUAUGGGUAUAAUUUCUAUUGCAAGCUUGCUUCUAAUAACUCCAUUAAUUCUUGUGUGUUUGUUGCCAAAUGCAAACCGUGCAAUUAAAGCUUGUAAACUUAUGGGGAUAGCUUUUUAUGCAUAGUUGGGGCAAGCAGCAUCAAUGGAGGACAAUGGACAGUCAAUAUUUUGGGUAGAUACUCUUCAUCAGGUUUGAAAGAGAUAGUCAGUAUGAAGAGAUGAGGAGAUGGAAAAGUGCAAGAGCUGGCAAGCAGCAAGUGGAUCCAGGUGUGGAGGGAUGAUAGGUAGGUGGAGAAGGAAAGUAUGGAAAUAGCAACAGGGGCUGGGAGGUGACUGGUGGGUUUAAAAAGAGGACUGCAGAUGAUGGAAUCUGAUAGGAAAGUAAGGUAGAGCAUGGAAACAAAUCAGGAAGGUGGGCAGAUGGGAAUAGGAGGUGGAGAAGUGUGUGGGUGAUGAGCAGAUAGAGUGGGUGGACAAGGAGAAAGAUAAAGAUGCUUGAUGAUGGGAGGGGAGUUUUGUAGAAACUGGGCUGGGUACAAGUGGAAUUGGGUUGAGCAGAAGGAACCAAGAGGGAAAAGAGACACAGGAGCAGCAGAUUACCCUAAAUAGGACAACUCCAUAUUUAUCCCAUCGGGUUGCAGAAUCUCUAAAAGGAAUUUGACGUGCUGCUCCUCUGGUUAGCAAUUAGCUUCAUGCUGGCAGCACAGGAAGGCAAGAACUAUUUUUGCCCAACCUGCCCACUGCCAACCACAAAACAAUAUGAUAACCUUAUCUAGCUCUGAAAGUCAAAAAUUGUAUUGAGAUAUACUUGAUGUUUGCCGAUGAAAACCCACUUAAAAAAAACCAUAAAGACCCUAAAUGUGAGGACCGGGUAGAAACGUGAUCACUGAUGACUGUAUUAUUUAUCAAAAAGAACCUUACUGAAUCAUUUUAACCAUAUUUAACCCUAUUUAACUUCAAUUUUAAAUUUGGAUGCAUGUGGUAGGAGUAACAGUAAUCCACCAAGCCAACAAUAAGGGUUUAAUUUAGAAUCCAUUUGCAGAGGUGUCUAUUCAGGGGAUAUUUUUAUAUUUUCUCUGAUAUAAAAUGAGGUACUUGGCCCAAUGAAUCAAUACUGGCUCUUGGGGUAUUCCCAUCAGACCUACUCUUGUAACAUAUUGUUUCUCAUCUGUCCUUCCAAUAUUCUAUGAUUCUCCUGUCAGCCACCCACUUGGGACGAGGGGGUGUAAUUUAUAACAGCUAGUUAAGAUUUUAGCUUUGAUAGAGGAUGACAAUCCUCAACUCAAGCACAGGUGGUGGAUGAAAAACUACUGGUUGAAAAAUGGCCCGAAGACUGAGUUAUGCUCUGCAGUUCUAACAUGGAGCAAUGCCAAUAAACUGAGUGCAAGAAGUCUAAUUGAAGAAACGCACAAUUCGAUUUUCUUUCAAAUAUGGCAGACUACAUCAUUCUGCUGGAGUGUAAAAAUAGAACAACUAAUCUUAUAUUUCUUUUAAACCAAGCAAAUAAUAAACCAGAAAAUAGACAUAAAUUGUAAUGAAGUUUGAGUGGUAAAUUAGAUUAAGAAAAUUCCAGCAGGAAUUUAUUGCUCAAUCAAAUAUGCAAUACACUUGGCCUCUAAUUGCUUGUUAGAAAACAGUGAUUUUGCACUAUAUCUAUUUGCAAUUUUUAUGAAUAAACUGCAUUCAGGGUCCAAAAGAAAAGUAGGCACCUGUUUUAUAACUCCUUUCAACUGAAGGAAAAAAAUUACAGCUCCACAAAGGAAAGAACAAGCCAACGGCAUGAACAUACAUCUCUGUCAACCAGCCAGUGCUGGCGUUAGAUGUUGACUAAACUCUUUGUGUUCUGUAUCAUUCAAAUAUCAUUAAAAGUACAGCUUAAAAACUGUAGAUGAAUAGUGACAGGGAAAUCAUAAAACUUGUUUUGAUGAAAUAUCCAGCAAAUGGGAAGUGUUUUCUGAAGACAAAGAGAGCUCACUAGUUUAAAGCCAAAAUCGACUGCAGAUGUUGGAAUCGCUCCUGAAGAAGGGUCUUGACCUGAAGUGUUAACUUACACCUUUUGCCUCCACAGAUGCUGCUUGACCCACUGAGUUUUUCUGGGGUCCUAUCCUUCGUUCCAGAGCUCAUUAGUUCAUUAUAUUUAAUUCAAUUUUCUCUCUAACAAGGACAUCAAUGCACUGGAUCCAUCGGCUGAAGGACUAUUUGGAGCCUACACACUCCCGUAAAGUAUUCCGAAAGUGAUCCCUUUGAUAGUUAAAUCCAGCAACAUAGGCAAGAACAGAGGAACCAUCAGAAACUCCAGCAGCCCCUUGCGAUUCUGUGAUUUCAGUCUCCGAGUCUGACAUGCAAGCGGCCUGCAGGAAGGUGAACUCAUUGAGCUCAGUCAGAGCUGGCCAGAUGCUGCCUGAAAUGCUGAUUAAUUGCUGGUGAUCCAAAAUAAAGAUGGUGGCUAAGACCCAGUGGUUGGAAACAGCAUGAAGUCACAGGCAUAAGGAUGCCUUUCCCCCCUGUUUUACAUUGAUACAACUAGAUUCAAAAAGCAUAAUGACAAUACUACAAGCACAAACCAUCAACUGCCUCUUUACCGCAUCAGUUCCAAUUCAAAUGCCGACUUGAUGCUAAGUGUCACAGACAAGCCGAUUUGCAAUGGCUUCUUCCUAUAUUUCCUUCAACAUUCUGCAGCUGUCUUUGGUUCUUGGAGGAAAGUCUGUGUUGGGAACACUACUACUCACAGCCACAAGAAAAGAACUAACGACAAGCAUUGUCCUCUUAAAAGCUUCACUGAGUGCCCAUUUCAGAAAGCCUCUUCCCUGAUUUGAAGAAAGCUGUCAGCUAUUGUCAGAGCUAAUGGAACAGGCAAAUCAUGUUGUAUACUUAGGUGCCAAUGGUCACAAAGCAGUGGGCAUUCAGAAUAUUAGACAAUCUUUUCCCUGAGGUGGUAAAACUUCAGCAAACUCUCAAAACGUGGCCAAGGAUGUACGGACUGACGUCGAGCUGACAGACUAACUGGAGAACACUUAGUUAAAACUCUUUACCUACAACUGGAUGGUAAAGUGGAAACAAACAGGAAACAAUAUGACUGGGGCAGAAAAGGGUGUUUUUUAAUAGCAGAAUCUGUGUAAGAUACAGCUACUACUUGAAAACCUAACAGUCAGCCCACUAAUUACCCCUAAAACUGGUUCACAAUCUUUUGGGUAGCUAGGAAAUAAUAAUUAGCUUGCCCCCUUAAUAUUCAAAGUGAUUAGGUUUUUCUUCGGGAGUGUCACUAUUAGCUACACCUGGCUCAUCAUUGCCAGCUGCAAGAUCUGGAUAAUGCACAGUUCACAGAACAUUGCGUUGUAUAGCAAAUGCACACAAAUAUAAGUAGUUUUUACAUAGGAAGAUAAUUUAGAUAAUAGAUAUACUUUUAUGUCAAAUUCAAAAAUAUGUAAAUAAAACUACAGUUGGUUACAGAUACUCGUGGGUUGCCUCACACUGAAAUAGGCUGGCUCUCUUCCUUGGCAAAUCCAAGUAAGUAAUGUGUAAAAGGGGAUGGUGGCUGCUGAGUAGGAACUCAAUGUUUAGUUCAGUUAGUGGUUGUAGCAAGACCAGCUAAUGCUGUUUCAUUUCAAUGGUGUAAUAAUAUGUCCAGCUUACAACAUUUACAGUUGGGAGAUCUCUUCAGGAGUCCAAAUCUGGUCCUGAUGGGACCUGAUGUAAAAUCUGUAAAUCUGUUAAUAUAAUGAGGAUUGCGUGUUGCAUGGAAAAAAACCAAGUUGUGCUGUUUUCAAUUAUUUGCAUUUCGCAUUGGAUGUAAUUGCUUCAAGUAUCUUCAAUUGUUUUUCGUUAACUUUUUAGUUUUAAAGCAGUGCACAGCAACAUUGAUGACAAGAAAAACACAUAUUU